UCUGCAUUCCCUAGAAACGUUGCCACUGGCCACGAAUAUAGCAGAGGAACUGAGAUUUUCCUUUUUUUUCAAUUUAACAUUAAAUUUAAAUUCGGUUUAAUUUGCCACGUUUAGCUGGUGGUAACCUAGGCCUUUAGAAGGCCGUAGAGCGACCUAGAAUGUGAAGCGUCUCGUUCAGAGCGGCUUGCAAUGGUGAAACAGUUUCCCUGGUAGGCUCCAGAGUGUCACCAAAAAGAUGCUCCGGCCCUCAAGGGUUAACUAGAUAUUUCCUGCUGUUCACUGUGUUCAAAGACACCAGAUGGGAAAGUUGGAUGCGCUGGAGGUGUGAAGGCCCCUGGUGGCUUCCGUGAUGGGAAGAGGAAAUGCCCUUUUGCAGCGUGCUGGAAUAUCAGCUUCCAGGCUGGUGUCUCAAGCAGUAGGAUUGUUGCCUGGGAGAUGAGAAACGGGGGUGGGGGGAAAGAACAGGGUGGGGUGGGGUCUACAUCAAGAGCCAUCCUUGAGGGGCAGUGGCUAUAAGCCAAAGGAAAGGCAAGCAGGCUGCCCUGACACGAGGCAAAAGGAAUGCACAUCCUGGCUUCUGCAUAAGCAUUCUGCCACACUACGCAAGCCCAGGCUGUUCAUCACUUGCCAUCACAGGAAAACGGGGUAUGUGCCUGAGAGAGCCACUCACAGUGCCGAGCAUGGUGACGCAAAUCUUCUCGUUUGAACCUCUUCACCACGGGAUGGGGAAAGUUCUAGAAACUUUACUCACCUGGGAUGAUUCUGAGAUACCGUGACUCCAGCUUGCGCUGGGGGUUCUGCUGCCCAGAGAAUAUCUGUUGGGGUGCUUCUGGGAGGUGUGCACCAAUAAAUCAACCCGUGCAUGCUAUUAUUUCCUAAAAUCUGGCCAGCCAAAUGCAGGCUUGUCUAAGUGAAUAGGUCUGAAGCUCUCAGACCAGAGAAAACAGAAGACAUAGUCCAACCCUCAGGACAUGUAAAACCACAAUGACAAUAACAACACAAUUAAGGAGCAAUUAAA